CAGCAGCCGCCGCGGUAAUACGUAGGUCCCGAGCGUUGUCCGGAUUUAUUGGGCGUAAAGCGAGCGCAGGCGGUUAGAUAAGUCUGAAGUUAAAGGCUGUGGCUUAACCAUAGUACGCUUUGGAAACUGUUUAACUUGAGUGCAAGAGGGGAGAGUGGAAUUCCAUGUGUAGCGGUGAAAUGCGUAGAUAUAUGGAGGAACACCGGUGGCGAAAGCGGCUCUCUGGCUUGUAACUGACGCUGAGGCUCGAAAGCGUGGGGAGCAAACAGGAUUAGAUACCCCAGUAGUCCCUGUCUCUUAUACA
rnacentral:rRNA from 1 species